rnacentral:rRNA from 1 species
UACGGAGGGUGCAAGCGUUAAUCGGAAUUACUGGGCGUAAAGCGUGCGCAGGCGGUUUGUUAAGUCCGUUGUGAAAGCCCCGAGCUCAACUUGGGAAUUGCAGUGGAUACUGGCAGGCUGGAGCACGGUAGAGGAAGGUGGAAUUCCCGGUGUAGCAGUGAAAUGCGUAGAUAUCGGGAGGAACACCAGUGGCGAAGGCGGCCUUCUGGACCAGCACUGACGCUCAUGCACGAAAGCGUGGGGAGCAAACAGG